CUUUGGUGGUUUCCUCUGGCAUCUUCACAAAGACAGAGGGGUCGUCUUAGCUCUGCCUUGCCCCAAGCUGUGCUGCCGCCAUGGAUAAAUAGCCUGUAGUCUUCCUCUUCUUCAGCACUUUACCUACAGCAGUGCUUGCGCCUGGAGCAGAGCUCUGUUCUAUCCACAGAUUACUCACACCUGCUUCAGGUCAUUUUGCUUUUAAAUAUCCUUCAUGGUGAGAUGCUAAAGUAUCGUAAUGAAGGUUUUAAAUAGCUUCUUCCUGGUUGUAAAAGUUCAUUCCAGGAAACAAUAUUGGAACUGGGAACUGGUGGGGCUGUUAAGGCUGUAGCCCUUGCUCUAGGCAUUUCCCCUUCUCAGAGCUGGAGAUGACUCACUACCCCAGCAUUUGCCUGUUUCACUGAUGAGGCUUUACCUCCCUUUCAAUUUGAGGUGUGCUUAGGGAAAGCAAGCCAAGGUGCUGCGCAUAACAACUCCAGCCUGUGGCUAAGUGAUCGUGUGCUGGAGCCAUCAGUCCAGGACUCUCUCGUGGUCCAGCUCCGACAUUUACAAAACGUCUGACUCUUCCUGAAUUCUCAGAAAAAUGAAAGUAAAAAAGUUGAAAAAGGUUCUAAUCUUAUGAACACAAAGAGAAAUGGAGAGAAGGCAAUAGUGGAGGAGAGAUGCUAAAAAAAUAUUUGGUAGGAUGAACACUUAAUGGAUACUUGUCAGAAUAGUGAAAGUUCAAAUAUAAGCCCUUGAAGAUGGAUAAGUCAACAAAAACCUCGUUAAUUCAUAUUGUGGAAAACUGGAAAGAUCAGCAAUACCAGAAAUUAGGAGUGGGACUGAGAACUUGCUGCUGAAAACAGGUUUGCUUAAAGAUAUUUAGGAUCAGUUAGAGCCCACUCUCCUACCCACCCUGCCCUUCUGCCACUCAUCCCAAUAGCAAGACAGAAGGAUAAUUCUAGGCAAAAAUUGACAGAGGGCAUCCAGGAUAUUAAGCACAGUUGAGAACAAGGUUUAGGUGUUAUAUUGAAAACAGGAAGGAACAAGAAAGUCUACACAUGGAAUGACUAGAGAUGCAGCAUCUUCAUUACAGCAAUCCCCGGACUCUGAGAGCCAGGCUUCAGCCCUGCAUAUCACUCUCUUCUGACACCUGCACAGAUCUGGAAGCUCAAGAACCACAUUCUGCCAGUUGAAGGAAUCAGGCAAGAAUUUGAAGGUGGAAGAGAAGCAGAAGCAAUGAUAGCUUCCAUGACUACAGCAGACAGAUGGCUGGCCUUUCAAGGAUGCAGUGUUUUGCCAGUGGCUCCCAGCUGUUUUCCUGAAAAUCACCCACACCCAUACUGCAGAAGACUGAGGAUACUGCUGAGAAUUGUCUGUGAUUCCUGACUUUCUGAUUUCCUCAUCCUUACCUCUCCAGUCCCAUGUGUAAUGGUGAAAAUCUUUAUUUCUCCAUAUUAAACUGCCUUAAGCUUGAAGUACUGGAGAGGUUUGCUUCUCCCUGCCUCUCGUUCUCCUGGUUUGUGAAACCACCUUAGUGACUCACUUCUAUGUAAAUCUAUGCUCUUGUCCUCAUCACCAGCAAACCCUCAAUAAUAUCGAUGUAAAGCUACCCGGUUUCUGACCACAAUCUUCUGAAUUUCCAGCUGUGUUCUUCUGGUUACUAGAGCAAUGACUCCAACUGAUAAUUGAAGUAACCAGAAUUGACAAUCCACUGGUCUUAUCACAACUCACUUAUGUCCUCACAUUUUACUUAACCAGUUAAGAAUCCAUAGUCUGUUAUAAUUACUCACUUAACAUUUGCCCUCAGCUCUCUUACUCCUCUUUCACUUAAAAAUCCCAAGCCUGACUAAAUUUACCUCUCCUGCAGAAAAUCCAUUUUAAAUCAGAUCGAAUCCAUGACUAACAGCCUCAAAUAUAUUCUUAGUAUUACUGGUAAAUCCUAUCACAUUUCCCAAUUUAGUCUCCCAAUCUCCUGGAUUAUUAUUUUAUAAUUUCUACUCUUUCUUUUAAUCUGAUGUGGUUUCUUAUCUAUCCUCUCUCAGCAGAAGUUGUAGGUAAUCUGAAGAAAAUUGUUCCAAGUUCCUUCCAGCAUCCCUCACGCUGUAAUCUGGACGCCUACGUGAUUCCCUCUUCCUGUUACCAUGGAGGAACUGUUUAUAUUUUGAUCAAAGGCAAAACCUUUCACUUGUGCUCAAGAUGCCAACUCUCCCACUCGCUCAUGAACAUUGUUCCAGAAAGUUUAGUGUCUCUGUUCUGUGUCAUAAAGUUUCUCUCUCUGGUGAGCAUGAUGCAUAAGGAGAACAGCAUGAAACGUGAUAUAACUUCUCCCAUCUUACAAACACUUUUCUCUUUACCCCACGUCAACCUUACAGGUAUCACCCACUGCUCUGUUCUUAUUUACAACAAAACUCUUUGACAGUGUUGUCUGUACCUUCUGUUUCUAAUUCCUUCCCUCCAUUCUUUCUUAAAUCCUUUUUAACUAGACUUUUAGCUCCACUAUGCAAAAAAAAAAAGAGAGAGAGAGAGAAAAUGGUCACAAACAACUUCCAUGUUGUUAAACCCAAUGGUCAUGUCUCAGUCCUAAUUUUAUUUGUCCUAUCUGGUGUAGUUGCCACAACUGAUUCAUCCCCGUUCCUUGAAACACUGUCUAUACCAGCCUUCUAGAAAACAGUCCUGUCCCUCCACUAGACUCUAAACAUUCAUAACUCUUGUCCACCUACACUGGCACCUGUGAUGAUGUCUUCAAAUUUAAAUAUUGCCUAUACAGUAAGGACUCUUCUAUUUAUAUCUCCUGCUCAGACCUCUUCCUCGAGGUAAGUGUCUAUCUGCUCACAUCUGCACUUAGAGUAGAAGCUUCUCAAACUUACCUGUGCAGAACUGAACUCUUGAUCUGCAUCUCUGCCAAACUUGCUCUUUCCUCAUUUUUAAUUCUGUUACAGUAAACGCAAACUAUAUCUUCUCUAGUGGUUCCUGCCAAAAACUUUGGAGUUUUCUUCAACUUCCUUUUUUUGUUUUCUUGCAACACCACGUACAGUCUCUUAGUAAAUUCUGUCAAUUCCAUUUACAAAAUAUAUUUCUAUCCCGACCACUUCUCGACAUCUCUUUCUCUACCAAUGCAGCCAAGACUCCACUGUCUUAUCUGGAUUAUUGUGAUGGCUUCCUAACGGUUUCUCUGCUUUUGCCUUUGCCUCCCUAUGAUUUCUUCCUGGGGAAUCUUUUAAAAUUAUAAUUCUAAUAAUGUCCUUUUUUAAUAAAAAUCUAUCAAUGGAGCCAGGCCUGGUGGUCUAGUGGUUAAAGUUCGGUGCUCCCCACUUCGGCAACCUAGGUUAGCUUCUGGGUCACAGAACCAUACCACUUGAGUGCCAGUUGCCAUGCUGUGGCAGCAGCUGACACAGAAUAACUAGAAGGACUUACAACUAGGAUAUACAACCAUGCACUGGGGCUUUGGGGAGGGAAAAAAAACCCAACCUAUCAAUGGUUUUGAGUCUAUAGAGUUUCCCAAUGGGCCAUACUGGAUAUGCCCCUCCCCAUCAACUUUAAUUACUUUUUUUGAUUUACCUUCCACUCCUCUCUCCUAACUCAC
ensembl:lncRNA